GGGGGUAUAGCUCAGUGGUAGAGUGCAUGCUUAGCAUGCAUGAGAUCUUGGGCUCAAUUCUGAGACCUCCA
rnacentral:tRNA from 1 species